GGGGAGUUGCCCGAGUGGCCAAAGGGAGCAGGCUGUAAACCUGCCGGCUUACGCCUACGUUGGUUCGAAUCCAGCACUCCCCA
rnacentral:tRNA from 1 species